AGCUCCAAUAGCGUAUAUUAAAGCUGUUGCGGUUGAACCGCUCGUAGUUGGAUUGCGAUUUUCGGCCACUGUCCUCUGGAUAUGUUGAGGAAAGGCUUCGGCUGCCUUUGGCCAUAGACGACAAUGCCACGAUUGUCUUGGAUGCUCUUUAUCGAGUGUUCCUGGCGACGUGGACGUUUACUUUGAGAAAAUAAGAGCGCUCAAUGCAUGAACGGAAUUUCAUGGGAUAGCGAAAAAUGAUCUCGCUGGUGAUGAGAAAGCCACGAGGUAAUGAUUAAAAGGGACAGACGGUGGCAUUCGUACUGCUGCGUUAGAGGUGAAAUUCUUGGAUCGUAGCAAGACGAACAAUUGCGAAAGCAUUUGCCAAGAAUGUUUUCA
rnacentral:rRNA from 1 species